rnacentral:rRNA from 1 species
GCAAGGCCUCUCGCUUUUAGAGGAACCUACGUCGGAUUAGCUAGUUGGUGAGGUUAAUGGCUCACCAAGGCCGACGAUCCGUAACUGGUCUGAGAGGAUGAUCAGUCACACCGGAACUGAGACACGGUCCGGACUCCUACGGGAGGCAGCAGUGGGGAAUAUUGGACAAUGGGCGAAAGCCUGAUCCAGCAAUACCGCGUGUGUGAAGAAGGCCUUCGGGUUGUAAAGCACUUUAAGUUGGGAAGAAAAAGCUUCACCUAAUACGUGGAGCCUUGACGGUACCGACAGAAUAAGCACCGGCUAACUCUGUGC